rnacentral:rRNA from 1 species
CAGUCGCCGCGGGAAUACGGAGGGUGCAAGCGUUAAUCGGAAUUACUGGGCGUAAAGCGCACGCAGGCGGUCUGACAAGUCAGAUGUGAAAUCCCCGGGCUUAACCUGGGAACUGCAUUUGAAACUGUCAGGCUGGAGUCUUGUAGAGGGGGGUGGAAUUCCAGGUGUAGCGGUGAAAUGCGUAGAGAUCUGGAGGAAUACCGAUGGCGAAGGCAGCCAUCUGGCCUAAUACUGACGCUGAGGUACGAAAGCAUGGGGAGCAAACAGGAUUAGAUACCCCUGUAGUCCCUGUCUCUUAUAC